rnacentral:rRNA from 1 species
GUGCCAGCCGCCGCGGUAAUACGAAGGGGGCUAGCGUUGCUCGGAAUUACUGGGCGUAAAGGGCGCGUAGGCGGGUCGAUAAGUUGGGGGUGAAAGCCCAGGGCUCAACCUUGGAAUUGCCUUCAAAACUAUCGACCUAGAGUAUGGCAGAGGUGUGUGGAACUCCGAGUGUAGAGGUGAAAUUCGUAGAUAUUCGGAAGAACACCAGUGGCGAAGGCGACACACUGGGCCAUUACUGACGCUGAGGCGCGAAAGCGUGGGGAGCAAACAGGAUUAGAUACCCUCGUAGUCC